rnacentral:rRNA from 1 species
UACGUAGGGUGCAAGCGUUGUCCGGAAUUAUUGGGCGUAAAGAGCUCGUAGGCGGUCUGUUGCGUCGGCUGUGAAAACCCGGGGCUCAACUCCGGGCCUGCAGCCGAUACGGGCAGGCUAGAGUUCGGCAGGGGAGACUGGAAUUCCUGGUGUAGCGGUGAAAUGCGCAGAUAUCAGGAGGAACACCGGUGGCGAAGGCGGGUCUCUGGGCCGAUACUGACGCUGAGGAGCGAAAGCGUGGGGAGCAAACAGG